ensembl:lncRNA
AUCAGUCUUCAAUAAUCAGUCAUGAUCCGAGCUCCACGUGCGCCUGAGACGUGGACCGGGACCCGACGGGACGCUCCACGCGGACGUGUCCGCGGGGCGACCAGUCUGACAGCAGUGGGGAGGAAAGACCUGCGAAAUCUCUCCGUCCCACACCGUGGGUGCCGCAGUCUCCCACUGAAGGAGCUGCUCAGUGCUGUCACAGUCUGCUGCAUGGGGUGGGAGAUGUUGUCCAUCAGGGAUGACAGCUUAGCCGCCGUUCUCCUGUCACUCACCACCUCCACUGGGUCCAGAGGGCCUCCUAGAACAGAGCUGGCCUAGCCCUACUGUCACAGUUCAGCGUUGUUUGUCCGUCGCUUCUCCCGCCCUGAUCUCUGUCCUUCAGUCCAGCGUCAGUAAUGGAAAUGAACCAACGGGCUGUCCGGCUCACAGCAGGUAAUCUGCCUGGUAUGCCAGAUUACCCGUCCGGUGCCGGGAGGCAGACGGCUUGAGUGGAGGCUGACGGAGAGACUGUAAUGGAGGCUCCGGCCAGCAGGGGGCAGCAGGGGGCAGCAGGUGGUUUUACCUGAAGUCAUUACAGCUGAAGUUCUGUGUCUGUGAAUGAUGCAUGCUGGGAAAACGGACCGAGAGCCGCUGUGACAUCGGCACAGGUGGCUCUGCUCUCUGAUUUGAUCCUGAGCUGUGAUGUCAUCGGUGGCGCCUCAGCCACAAAGUUUCCUGACGGCGUCCUGUGUGAGCGCGGUGUCGGGAUGGUCUGUGGCUGUGCCGCAGUAAAGAGGAGGAGUUCUGAUCACGCGCCUCUGCGGUCUGUGAGCUCUGAUCCAGACUCUCCCAGCUGUGUCGUUCCAGCCAGUUUGGGACAAUUUGUUUUUAAUUUGCUGUUUAAAUGUUUUUAAACAGCCAAAUGCAGCAAAUCUCACACUGAUCAAAACUCUGCAAACUAAUGUUCAGUAUAUUUAUUUAUGCAUGGGAAUGAAAAAACUGGAAAUAAAUUAUUAAAUAUAUGAAUGAUUAAAUUACAGUUCUAUUAAUUUGACACACUUGUUCAAAUUUAAAUAGACUGGCGAGGAAAUGAUUAAGACGUAAACCUGAGGGGGGCUAAAUAAGUAUAAACAUAAGUGUAUACUUCUGCCUACUGCUUUUCAAACAGCUGAAUGGAUGAUGUUAUGGACUGUUGGUGAAUGUAUAUGUUCGAAAUAAAAAUGAACUGAACAUUGAAUAAAUUACUGAU